UUUAUUAACAGGAGGAGUCUCGGAUCCUCAGGGUAAAGGUGGUUUCUGGUAUCGAUCUAGCCAAGAAAGACAUCUUCGGAGCCAGUGACCCCUAUGUGAAACUUUCUUUGUAUGUAGCAGAUGAGAACAGAGAACUCGCUCUGGUGCAGACCAAAACUAUUAAAAAGACACUGAAUCCAAAAUGGAAUGAAGAAUUUUACUUUAGAGUAA